rnacentral:rRNA from 1 species
GCGUAAGCGCACGCAGGCGGUCUGUCAAGUCGGAUGUGAAAUCCCCGGGCUCAACCUGGGAACUGCAUUCGAAACUGGCAAGCUAGAGUCUUGUAGAGGGGGGUAGAAUUCCAGGUGUAGCGGUGAAAUGCGUAGAGAUCUGGAGGAAUACCGGUGGCGAAGGCGGCCCCCUGGACAAAGACUGACGCUCAGGUGCGAAAGCGUGGGGAGCAAACAGGAUUAGAUACCCUGGUAGUCCACGCCGUAAACGAUGUCGAUUUGGAGGUUGUGCCCUUGAGGCGUGGCUUCCGGAGCUAACGCGUUAAAUCGACCGCCUGGGGAGUACGGCCGCAAGGUUAAAACUCAAAUGAAUUGACGGGGGCCCGCACAAGCGGUGGAGCAUGUGGUUUAAUUCGAUGCAACGCGAAGAACCUUACCUGGUCUUGACAUCCACAGAACUUUCCAGAGAUGGAUUGGUGCCUUCGGGAACUGUGACACAGGUGCUGCAUGGCUGUCGUCAGCUCGUGUCGUGAAAUGUUGGGUUAAGUCCCGCAACGAGCGCAACCCUUGUCCUUUGUUGCCAGC